UACGUAGGGGGCAAGCGUUGUCCGGAUUUAUUGGGCGUAAAGAGCGUGUAGGCGGCUUCACAGGUCCGCUGUGAAAACUCGAGGCUCAACCUCGAGCUGUCGGUGGAAACCGUGUGGCUAGAGUCCGGAAGAGGAUAGUGGAAUUCCCGGUGUAGCGGUGAAAUGCGCAGAUAUCGGGAAGAACACCAAUGGCGAAAGCAGCUUUCUGGGACGGUACUGACGCUGAGACGCGAAAGCGUGGGGAGCGAACAGG
rnacentral:rRNA from 1 species